UUUCCUACGGGGGGCAGCAGUGGGGAAUAUUGCACGAUGGGGGAAACCCUGAUGCAGCGACGCCGCGUGAGCGAAGAAGAAUUUCGGGAUGUAAAGCUCUAUCAGCAGGGAAGAAAAAUGACGGUACCUGAGUAAGAAGCACCGGCUAAAUACGUGCCAGCAGCCGCGGUAAUACGUAUGGUGCAAGCGUUAUCCGGAUUUACUGGGUGUAAAGGGAGCGCAGGCGGUGCGGCAAGUCUGAUGUGAAAGCCCGGGGCCCAACCCCGGGGCUGCUUUGGAAACU
rnacentral:rRNA from 1 species